rnacentral:rRNA from 1 species
GCUUGUCUCAAAGAUUAAGCCAUGCAUGUCUAAGUAUAAACGCUUUAUACUGUGAAACUGCGAAUGGCUCAUUAUAUCAGUUAUAGACUAUUCAAUAAUCUCUUACUACUUGGAUAACCGUAGUAAUUCUAGAGCUAAUACAUGCAGGAAGACCCGACUCACGAAGGGUUGUAUUUAUUAGAUAAGAAACCUUCCCCUUUGGGUUGCGUGCCGAGUCACAAUAACUGCUCGAAUCGCAUGGCUUCACGCCGGCGAUGGUUCAUUCAAAUUUCUGCCCUAUCAGCUUUCGAUGGUAGGAUCGAGGCCUACCAUGGCGUUUACGGGUAACGGAGAAUUAGGGUUCGAUUCCGGAGAGGGAGCCUGAGAGAUGGCUACCACAUCCAAGGAAGGCAGCAGG